CUUUUUUUCUUUUUUUUUUAAUUUUUUUUUUUUUGAGACCCAGUCUUGCUCUGUUGCCCAGGCUGGAGUGCAGUGGUGCAAACACGGCUCACUGCAGCCUCUGCCUCCUGGGUUCAGUGAUUCUCAUGCCUCAGCCUCCGAGUAGCUGGGAUUAAAGAUGUGCAUCACCACGCCCAGCUAAUUUUUGUAUUUUUAGUAGAGAUGGGGUUUCACCAUGUUGGCCAGGCUGGUCUCGAAGUCCUGGCCUUAUGUGAUACAAAUAAUUGGGACAGCCUCCCAAAGUGCUGGGAUUACAAGCGUGAGCCACCACACCCAACCUGUUUUUAAAAUGUUUAUUGUCUAUAUUUGAGUUUACAACAUGAUGUUAUAGAAUAAUGGGACAGAUAUAGAUAGCACAGUGGUUACUAUGGUGAAGCCGAUGAGCAUGUCUGUUAUCUCACAUAGUCACCGUUUUUAGUGUGUGUGAGGAGCAGCUGAAACCUGCUUCACAGAAAUCCCUUAUGUUGUGCGUGAGCCCUCUAGACUUACUCAUCCUGUAUAUCUGCUACUUGGUGUCCUUUGGCCUACAUCUCCCUAUUUCCUUCAGCUCCUGCCCAUGGUCUCAGCCUUAGAUCCAAGGACAGUCCAAGGAAGUCCUAAGACCAUGGAGUUGGUGAUCUGGGAUCUGGGUUUGCUGAUAUUUCUCACCGUGAAUCUCUUGGUGGUGUUUGUGGGCACGAGAGGGGCAGAGAAUGGAGAGUGAGGCUACCACAUGAAGCGUCACCAGAGCUGCUCCCUGCUGCCUGCUCAGAGCACCCCGGAUCCACUGUUCAAUCUGCACAAGAUUCGGGGUCCAGACAUGGGAGACUUCAGCUGCCUCAGAGGACCGUGGACAGGGAAGGCCAGCCUCGCAUCCCUCUGUCCAUGCCUGGAAUGACUUUAAUAACCAAGAGUUUUAUUUUUGAAUUUGUAGCUGUCGUUCACUUUUUACCCACCCAUUCAAUAAACCUUACAGAAUU
ensembl:lncRNA SNHG17 small nucleolar RNA host gene 17